rnacentral:rRNA from 1 species
CCAAGGCUAAAUACUCCCUAGUGACCGAUAGUGAACCAGUACCGUGAGGGAAAGGUGAAAAGCACCCCGGAAGGGGAGUGAAACAGUUCCUGAAACCGUGUGCCUACAAGUAGUUAGAGCCCGUUAAUGGGUGAUAGCGUGCCUUUUGUAGAAUGAACCGGCGAGUUACGAUUUGUUGCAAGGUUAAGCGGAAAAAGCGGAGCCGUAGCGAAAGCGAGUCUGAAUAGGGCGCAUAAGUAACAGGUCGUAGACCCGAAACCAGGUGAUCUACCCAUGUCCAGGAUGAAGGUAAGGUAAUACUUACUGGAGGUCCGAACCCACGCACGUUGAAAAGUGCGGGGAUGAGGUGUGGGUAGCGGAGAAAUUCCAAUCGAACUUGGAGAUAGCUGGUUCUCUCCGAAAUAGCUUUAGGGCUAGCCUCGAGGUAAAGAGUCAUGGAGGUAGAGCACUGUUUGGACUAGGGGCCCUUCUCGGGUUACCGAAUUCAGAUAAACUCCGAAUGCCAUGUACUUAUACUCGGGAGUCAGACUGCGAGUGAUAAGAUCCGUAGUCGAAAGGGAAACAGCCCAGACCACCAGUUAAGGUCCCCAAAUAUAUG